GGCUUCAGCUCAGUGAUAGAGCAUUUGCACCAGAAUCGCAAAGUUCAUGGGUUUGAAUCCCGUUGGAGCCU
rnacentral:tRNA from 1 species